rnacentral:lncRNA from 1 species
CAGCUUCGAGCUCAAGUGGCAGUAGCUCAGCUUUGGUGGCUUCUGGAGGAGCAGGAGGCGGUAGACGGAGCGAUAGGAGAUCGCAACGAGGGCGGUCCAAGUCCAGGAGGGACUUGAGCAAAACCAGGUGUUACCGGUGUGAGGAGUUGGGACAUCUAGCAAGAGAUUGCCCUCAACUCAAAAAUCGGACGGUGGCUGUUGUAGCGACGACCGGCAGCGAUUUAGAUGGAGAUGUCCUGGAGAUAUCUGACGAGGUAUCUACUUCUUCCCAGCAGUGGAUAUUAGAUUCUGCGUGCCCCUAUCAUGUAUGUUGCAGAGAGGAGUAGUUUGACUCCCUAGAGAACAGUGAGGGCACUAUAUAUCUGCCGGAUGGAUC